AGUGAACGCUGGCGGUAGGCCUAACACAUGCAAGUCGAACGGCAGCACAGUAAGAGCGUGCUCUUACGGGUGGCGAGUGGCGGACGGGUGAGGAGUACAUCGGACUCUACUUUUUCGUGGGAGUUAACGUAGGUGGACUUACUCUAAUACAGCAUACGACCUACGGGGGAAAGCGGUGGAUCUUCGCGCCUUGCGCGAUUGGAUGAGCCGGUGGCGGGUUAGCUAGUUGGCGGGGUAAAGGCCCACCAAGGGGACGAUCCGUAGCUGGUCUGAGAGGAUGGUCAGGCACUGUGGAGGUGAGAGACGGUCCAGGCUCCUACGGGAGGCAGCAAUGGGUACUGGUGGACAAUGGGCGGAAGCCUGCACAAGCCACGCAGGGUGGGUGAAGCAGGCCUGCGGGUUGUAAAGCCCUUUUGUUGGGAAAGAAAAGUAGCAGGUUAAUACCCCGCUGUUCGGCCGGAACCGAAAGAAUAAGCACCGGCUACCUUCGU
rnacentral:rRNA from 1 species